GACGAACGCUGGCGGCGUGCUUAACACAUGCAAGUCGAACGGAAAGGCCCUGCUUUUGUGGGGUGCUCGAGUGGCGAACGGGUGAGUAACACGUGAGUAACCUGCCCUUGACUGUGGGAUAACUUCAGGAAACUGGGGCUAAUACAGGAUAGGAGCUCCUGCUGCAUGGUGGGGGUCGGAAAGUUUCGGCGGUUGGGGAUGGACUCGCGGCUUAUCAGCUUGUUGGUGGGGUAGUGGCUUACCAAGGCUUUGACGGGUAGCCGGCCUGAGAGGGUGACCGGCCACCUUGGGCCUACGGUACGGCCCAGUCUGCUACGGGAGGCAGCAGUGGGGAGUCUGGCACAAUGAGCGGAAGCCUGUUGCAGCAACGCCGCGUGCGGGAUGCCGUGCUUCGGGUUGUAAACCGCUUUCGCCUGUGCCGAAGCGUUAGUGACGGUAAUGGGUAAAGAAGCACCGGCUAACUACGUG
rnacentral:rRNA from 1 species